ACCAUGGACUGGUCCCCACUCCUGUUCACUUUCCUCGCUCUCUGUACAGGAUCCCAGGCCCAGUCUGUGCUGACUCAGCCAGCGUCAGUCUCUGGGAAUCUAGGACAGAGGGUCACCAUCUCCUGCACUGGAAGCAACAGCAACAUUGGAGAUGGGUAUUAUGUGCAUUGGUACCAGCAGCUUUCAGGAACAGCCCCCAAACCCCUCAUCUAUAGUAAUAGCAAUCGGCCCUCAGGUGUCCCUGACCGAUUCUCUGGCUCCAAGUCUGGCUCCUCAGGCUUCCUGACAAUCACUGAACUACAGCCUGAAGAUGAGGCUGAUUAUUACUGCAGUUCUUAUGACAAAGACCUCAAAAUUUACACAGUGCUCCAGGGCCACAGGGAAGUGAGACAAAAACCUCCUUCCUCUACCAGGAAAAAAGUUCUGGAGGGUUUGGAAAAAUAUAGUAGCAAGAGCUUUCCCCCAGAUCAGCGACAUUUAGCAGUCUUGCCUUUCUCAAAUGUCCCUCAGAUGAAGGGAAUGAGGUGCUCUGUGCUCCUGUGUGACUGUCUGGGGAUAUGGACUCAGGGCAGCGAGCUCCACAUCUUUGGAGCAUUUAACUGA